rnacentral:rRNA from 1 species
AGAGUUUGAUCAUGGCUCAGGACGAACGCUGGCGGCGUGCUUAACACAUGCAAGUCGAACGGUGACGGAGGAGCUUGCUCCUCCUGAUCAGUGGCGAACGGGUGAGUAACACGUGAGCAAUCUGCCCCUGACUCUGGGAUAACCUCGGGAAACCGAAGCUAAUACCGGAUACGAAGCGCGAAGGCAUCUUCAGCGCUUGGAAAGAAUUUCGGUCAGGGAUGAGCUCGCGGCCUAUCAGUUAGUUGGUGAGGUAAUGGCUCACCAAGACGACGACGGGUAGCCGGCCUGAGAGGGUGACCGGCCACACUGGGACUGAGACACGGCCCAGACUCCUACGGGAGGCAGCAGUGGGGAAUAUUGCACAAUGGGCGCAAGCCUGAUGCAGCAACGCCGCGUGAGGGAUGACGGCCUUCGGGUUGUAAACCUCUUUUAGCAGGGAAGAAGCGAAAGUGACGGUACCUGCAGAAAAAGCACCGGCUAACUACGUGCCAGCAGCCGCGGUAAUACGUAGGGUGCAAGCGUUGUCCGGAAUUAUUGGGCGUAAAGAGCUCGUAGGCGGUUUGUCGCGUCUGCUGUGAAAACCCGAGGCUCAACCUCGGGCCUGCAGUGGGUACGGGCAAACUAGAGUGCGGUAGGGGAGAUUGGAAUUCCUGGUGUAGCGGUGGAAUGCGCAGAUAUCAGGAGGAACACCGAUGGCGAAGGCAGAUCUCUGGGCCGUAACUGACGCUGAGGAGCGAAAGCGUGGGGAGCGAACAGGAUUAGAUACCCUAGUAGUCC